AUUCACUACACAAAAACACACAGCUUUAUCUACACAAACACACACAGCAUCGACUACACAAACACACAAACUGCAUUCACUACACAAACAAAACACACCACAUUCACUAUACACAAAGCAUUCACCACACAACACACACAGCAUUGACUACACAAACACACACAUUCGCUAUACACCCUCUACAUCCACUACACAAACACGCACUCUGUAUUUACUAUACACACACUACAUCCACUAC